UGCUUUUUAUUUAUCUGUUCGUGCUAUAUCUUUCACUGUUGGUUUGUAGACAUUUAGGACUGUAAAGUUUUUGUAUCUCCAUCUCAUAUGUUCUUUUUAGCCACAUUCUCUUUUGUGGUUUCCUUCAUUUAUAUCUAAUCAUCAAAUAGUCUUCGAAGGUUAUUGUUUGAAGCAUUUCUAAUCUCUAUUGAACUCUUUUACUGUUCUUGAAAUCCCCCGGUUCUACGUCGCCAGCUAUUUCUUCUAUCUUUAUUCCUUAGGAGACUUCCAUGACGAUUAUCAAUGUAAAAUAUCUUCUUUUUCUCUUCUCAGAAUUUGUGCUGCAUCAAUAUCAAGGGUUGCAGAUGGAAUGAUUUUUGGAAAUACAAACUUCCCCACAGCUUUAUGGACUACCGGCAUACAAGAAGUCAAAGG